AGCAGAUAUUCGGUCUGAAGAAUUUAUAAU
rnacentral:piRNA from 1 species